rnacentral:rRNA from 1 species
CCCUUAGAUGUUCUGGGCUGCACGCGCGCUACACUGAUGCGCUCAACGAGUUUACGACCUUGCCCGGAAGGGUUGGGUAAUCUUUUUAAAACGCAUCGUGAUGGGGAUAGAUUAUUGCAAUUAUUAAUCUUUAACGAGGAAUUCCUAGUAAGCGCGAGUCAUCAGCUCGUGCUGAUUACGUCCCUGCCCUUUGUACACACCGCCCGUCGCUACUACCGAUUGAACGGUUUAGUGAGGGCCUCGGAUUGGUCUCGGCCCGCUCUUUACCGGGCGGCGCCGUUGGUCGAGAAGACGCUCGAACUUGAUCGUUUAGAGGAAAUAAAAGUCGUAACA